rnacentral:rRNA from 1 species
AACGAACGCUGGCGGCAGGCCUAACACAUGCAAGUCGAACGCCCCGCAAGGGGAGUGGCAGACGGGUGAGUAACACGUGGGAACGUACCCUUCGGUUCGGGAUAACUCAGGGAAACUUGAGCUAAUACCGGAUACGUCCGAGAGGAGAAAGAUUUAUCGCCGAGGGAUCGGCCCGCGUCUGAUUAGCUUGUUGGUGAGGUAACGGCUCACCAAGGCGACGAUCAGUAGCUGGUCUGAGAGGAUGAUCAGCCACAUUGGGACUGAGACACGGCCCAAACUCCUACGGGAGGCAGCAGUGGGGAAUAUUGGACAAUGGGCGCAAGCCUGAUCCAGCCAUGCCGCCGUGAGUGAUGAAGGCCCUAGGGUUGUAAAGCUCUUUUACCCGGGAAGAUAAUGACUGUACCGGGAGAAUAAGCCCCGGCUAACUU